AUAAUAAUUUUAAGUCAAUCUGCUCAAUGAUUUUAUAAUUAAAUGGCUGCAGUAUAAUUAACUGUACAAAGGUAGCAUAAUAAAUUGUCUUUUAAUUGAAGACUGGAAUGAAAGAAUUAAUGAGAUAUAUACUGUCUCAUAUAUAUUAAAUGAAUUUAAAUUUUUAGUAAAAAUGCUUAAAUAAUUUUAUGGGACGAUAAGACCCUAUAGAAUUUUAUAUUAAUAUUUUAUUAAUUAUUUAAUUAAAUAUUAAUAUUUAAUUGGGAGGAUUAGUAAAUAAGAAAAACUUUAUUUUUAAAAUAAACUUUGAUUUUAGAAUAUAUUUUUGAUCUUUUAUUAUAAAUCAAAAGAAUAAAUUACCUUAGGGAUAACAGCGUUAUAUCUUUUUAAAGAUCAUAUUAAUAAAGAUGUUUGCGACCUCGAUGUUGAAUUAAGAUAAAUUUUAAAUGAAGAAGUUUAAAAAUUAAGUCUGUUCGACUUUUAAAAUC
rnacentral:rRNA from 1 species